GUCACUAUAGCCAAGUGGUUACGGCGACAGAUUCGAAUGUUUAUUCGUGAUAUCUGUUGGGCUUUGCCCGCGUAGGUUCGAAUCCUACUGGUGACG
rfam:Gloeophyllum trabeum ATCC 11539 unplaced genomic scaffold GLOTRscaffold_00004, whole genome shotgun sequence.